CUCUGCAGAAGGAAGUCAAGGAGGAGAAUCCUGGGAUCGUGGCCUCUCUGGACCCUGUAGCUUCUUUUGGCCCCUUGACUCCUCGGGAAAGAUAAAAGGGAUGGAUUCUGCAAACCUAGUGAGGAUGGAAGGGGGAAGAUGGACGGUAGACCUGGUCAGGUUGUCUCCUGCAUCCCUCCCCACAACUUUUGAGCGCUCCUUCCCAGGAACCUCCGAGAGAUCUGGACCCUCCACUUCUUUUGGGCUCCUUGACUCCUCAGGAAGGAUGAAAGAGAACGGAUCCUGCAAAGCUAGCAAGGAUGGAAGGGGGAAGAUGGACGGUUGACCUGGUCAGGUUGUCUCCUGCAUCCCCUCCCCACAACCUCUGAGCGUUCCCUCCCAGGGGACCUCCAAGAGAUUCUGGUGAGUCCCA